rnacentral:rRNA from 1 species
AGAGUUUGAUCAUGGCUCAGAAUGAACGCUGGCGGCAGGCCUAACACAUGCAAGUCGAACGGAUCCUUCGGGAUUAGUGGCGGACGGGUGAGUAACGCGUGGGAACAUACCCUUUGGUACGGAAUAGCCUCGGGAAACUGGGAGUAAUACCGUAUGUGCCCUUCGGGGGAAAGAUUUAUCGCCAAAGGAUUGGCCCGCGUUGGAUUAGGUAGUUGGUGGGGUAAUGGCCUACCAAGCCGACGAUCCAUAGCUGGUUUGAGAGGAUGAUCAGCCACACUGGGACUGAGACACGGCCCAGACUCCUACGGGAGGCAGCAGUGGGGAAUCUUAGACAAUGGGGGAAACCCUGAUCUAGCCAUGCCGCGUGAUCGAUGAAGGCCUUAGGGUUGUAAAGAUCUUUCAGUUGGGAAGAUAGUGACGGUACCAACAGAAGAG